rnacentral:rRNA from 1 species
UACGAAGGGGCUAGCGUUGUUCGGAAUCACUGGGCGUAAAGGGCGCGUAGGCGGCUUUAUAAGUCGGGGGUGAAAGCCUGUGGCUCAACCACAGAAUUGCCUUCGAUACUGUAGAGCUUGAGACCGGAAGAGGUAAGUGGAACUGCGAGUGUAGAGGUGAAAUUCGUAGAUAUUCGCAAGAACACCAGUGGCGAAGGCGGCUCACUGGCCCGGUACGUGACGCUGAGGUGCGAAAGCGUGGGGAGCCAA